rnacentral:lncRNA from 1 species
GAUGAGCACAACAUUUAUUCAUGUAUCGGGCUUGCCAACAUGUUUUAAUUCAUAAACUAUUCAUGGUCUUACUUCAUGCCAAAUCAUGUACCGAAUAAUUUAGCUUUCUUAACACAUUUAUUUGCUUUUAGUAUUGCUCACAUAAGAUUUAUAGAGCAUAGAGCCUUGUAUAUAACACCGGCAUAAAGCCUGCUAGGCACCAAGCUCGAUACAUUUCACCGGCACAAAGCCUGCUAGACAUAAAGUCUGAUAUAAUUCACCGGCAUAAAGCCUGCUAGGCAUAAAGCCUGACAUAAUUCACCGGCAUAAAGCCUGCUAGGCAUAAAG